AGGUGAGGGCAUACAGCAACAGCGUGCAUCGGUAUAGGUAUAGAUUAUUGCACUUAUUAAUCUUGAACGAGGAAUCAAUUUGCAUUGAUUACGUCC
rnacentral:rRNA from 15 species